UUAAGCGACUAAGCGUACACGGUGGAUGCCCUGGCAGUCAGAGGCGAUGAAGGACGUGCUAAUCUGCGAAAAGCGUCGGUAAGGUGAUAUGAACCGUUAUAACCGGCGAUGUCCGAAUGGGGAAACCCAGUGUGAUUCGUCACACUAUCAUUAACUGAAUCCAUAGGUUAAUGAGGCGAACCGGGGGAACUGAAACAUCUAAGUACCCCGAGGAAAAGAAAUCAACCGAGAUUCCCCCAGUAGCGGCGAGCGAACGGGGAGCAGCCCAGAGCCUGAAUCAGUGUGUGUGUUAGUGGAAGCGUCUGGAAAGGCGCGCGAUACAGGGUGACAGCCCCGUACACAAAAAUGCACAUACUGUGAGCUCGAUGAGUAGGGCGGGACACGUGGUAUCCUGUCUGAAUAUGGGGGGACCAUCCUCCAAGGCUAAAUACUCCUGACUGACCGAUAGUGAACCAGUACCGUGAGGGAAAGGCGAAAAGAACCCCGGCGAGGGGAGUGAAAAAGAACCUGAAACCGUGUACGUACAAGCAGUGGGAGCCCUGAUUUAUCAGGGUGACUGCGUACCUUUUGUAUAAUGGGUCAGCGACUUAUAUUCUGUAGCAAGGUUAACCGAAUAGGGGAGCCGGAGGGAAACCGAGUCUUAACUGGGCGUUAAGUUGCAGGGUAUAGACCCGAAACCCGGUGAUCUAGCCAUGGGCAGGUUGAAGGUUGGGUAACACUAACUGGAGGACCGAACCGACUAAUGUUGAAAAAUUAGCGGAUGACUUGUGGCUGGGGGUGAAAGGCCAAUCAAACCGGGAGAUAGCUGGUUCUCCCCGAAAGCUAUUUAGGUAGCGCCUCGUGAAUUCAUCUCCGGGGGUAGAGCACUGUUUCGGCAAGGGGGUCAUCCCGACUUACCAACCCGAUGCAAACUGCGAAUACCGGAGAAUGUUAUCACGGGAGACACACGGCGGGUGCUAACGUCCGUCGUGAAGAGGGAAACAACCCAGACCGCCAGCUAAGGUCCCAAAGUCAUGGUUAAGUGGGAAACGAUGUGGGAAGGCCCAGACAGCCAGGAUGUUGGCUUAGAAGCAGCCAUCAUUUAAAGAAAGCGUAAUAGCUCACUGGUCGAGUCGGCCUGCGCGGAAGAUGUAACGGGGCUAAACCAUGCACCGAAGCUGCGGCAGCGACACUGUGUGUUGUUGGGUAGGGGAGCGUUCUGUAAGCCUGUGAAGGUGUGCUGUGAGGCAUGCUGGAGGUAUCAGAAGUGCGAAUGCUGACAUAAGUAACGAUAAAGCGGGUGAAAAGCCCGCUCGCCGGAAGACCAAGGGUUCCUGUCCAACGUUAAUCGGGGCAGGGUGAGUCGACCCCUAAGGCGAGGCCGAAAGGCGUAGUCGAUGGGAAACAGGUUAAUAUUCCUGUACUUGGUGUUACUGCGAAGGGGGGACGGAGAAGGCUAUGUUGGCCGGGCGACGGUUGUCCCGGUUUAAGCGUGUAGGCUGGUUUUCCAGGCAAAUCCGGAAAAUCAAGGCUGAGGCGUGAUGACGAGGCACUACGGUGCUGAAGCAACAAAUGCCCUGCUUCCAGGAAAAGCCUCUAAGCAUCAGGUAACAUCAAAUCGUACCCCAAACCGACACAGGUGGUCAGGUAGAGAAUACCAAGGCGCUUGAGAGAACUCGGGUGAAGGAACUAGGCAAAAUGGUGCCGUAACUUCGGGAGAAGGCACGCUGAUACGUAGGUGAAGUCCCUCGCGGAUGGAGCUGAAAUCAGUCGAAGAUACCAGCUGGCUGCAACUGUUUAUUAAAAACACAGCACUGUGCAAACACGAAAGUGGACGUAUACGGUGUGACGCCUGCCCGGUGCCGGAAGGUUAAUUGAUGGGGUCAGCGCAAGCGAAGCUCUUGAUCGAAGCCCCGGUAAACGGCGGCCGUAACUAUAACGGUCCUAAGGUAGCGAAAUUCCUUGUCGGGUAAGUUCCGACCUGCACGAAUGGCGUAAUGAUGGCCAGGCUGUCUCCACCCGAGACUCAGUGAAAUUGAACUCGCUGUGAAGAUGCAGUGUACCCGCGGCAAGACGGAAAGACCCCGUGAACCUUUACUAUAGCUUGACACUGAACACUGGUCCUUGAUGUGUAGGAUAGGUGGGAGGCUUUGAAGUGUGGACGCCAGUCUGCAUGGAGCCGUCCUUGAAAUACCACCCUUUAAUGGCUGGUGUUCUAACGUUGGCCCCUUACCGGGGUUGCGGACAGUGUCUGGUGGGUAGUUUGACUGGGGCGGUCUCCUCCUAAAGAGUAACGGAGGAGCACGAAGGUUGGCUAAUCCUGGUCGGACAUCAGGAGGUUAGUGCAAUGGCAUAAGCCAGCUUGACUGCGAGCGUGACGGCGCGAGCAGGUGCGAAAGCAGGUCAUAGUGAUCCGGUGGUUCUGAAUGGAAGGGCCAUCGCUCAACGGAUAAAAGGUACUCCGGGGAUAACAGGCUGAUACCGCCCAAGAGUUCAUAUCGACGGCGGUGUUUGGCACCUCGAUGUCGGCUCAUCACAUCCUGGGGCUGAAGUAGGUCCCAAGGGUAUGGCUGUUCGCCAUUUAAAGUGGUACGCGAGCUGGGUUUAGAACGUCGUGAGACAGUUCGGUCCCUAUCUGCCGUGGGCGCUGGAGAACUGAGGGGGGCUGCUCCUAGUACGAGAGGACCGGAGUGGACGCAUCACUGGUGUUCGGGUUGUCAUGCCAAUGGCACUGCCCGGUAGCUAAAUGCGGAAGAGAUAAGUGCUGAAAGCAUCUAAGCACGAAACUUGCCCCGAGAUGAGUUCUCCCUGACUCCUUGAGAGUCCUGAAGGAACGUUGAAGACGACGACGUUGAUAGGCCGGGUGUGUAAGCGCAGCGAUGCGUUGAGCUAACCGGUACUAAUGAACCGUGAGGCUUAACCUU
rnacentral:rRNA from 1 species